rnacentral:RNase_P_RNA from 1 species
GGGGCUGGGGGGGCGUCCGCGGGGGGGGGGGGGGGGGGGGGGGGGGAAGGCCAGGGCCCAAAGGGGAGGGGGGCAGGGUACCGCGGGGGGGGGAAACCAAGGAGGAGUGCAACAGAGAGCAAACCGCCGAUGGCCCGCGUAAGCGGGAUCAGGUAAGGGUGAAAGGGUGCGGUAAGAGCGCACCGCGCGGCUGGUAACAGUCCGUGGCACGGUAAACUCCACCCGGAGCAAGGCCAAAUAGGGGUUCAUAAGGUACGGCCCGUACUGAACCCGGGUAGGCUGCUUGAGCCAGUGAGCGAUUGCUGGCCUAGAUGAAUGACUGUCCACGACAGAACCCGGCUUAUCGGUCAGUUUCACCU